rnacentral:rRNA from 1 species
AGUGAGUGGCGGACGGGUGAGUAACGCGUAAGCAAUCUGCCUUUGUGUGUCGGAAUAACAACCGGAAACAGUUGCUAAUACCGCAUAAUGCAGAGAGAUCGCAUGGUCUUUCUGCCAAAGGAUUUAGUCGCACGAAGAUGAGCUUGCGUCCGGAUUAGAUAGUUGGCGGGGUAACGGCCCACCAAGUCAACGAUCGGUACGCCGGACUGAGAGGUUGAACGGCCACAUUGGAACUGAGAUACGGUCCAGACUCCUACGGGAGGCAGCAGUGGGGAAUAUUGGGCAAUGGACGAAAGUCCUGACCCAGCGACGCCGCGUGAGGGAAGAAGGUCUUCGGAUUGUAAACCUUAGUCAACAGGGGCGAAGCAAGUGACGGUACCUGUGGAGGAAGCCACGGCUAACUACGUGCCAGCCGCCGC